GAAGAUGCAGUGUACCCGCGGCAAGACGGAAAGACCCCGUGAACCUUUACUAUAGCUUGACACUGAACAUUGAGCCUUGAUGUGUAGGAUAGGUGGGAGCUUUGAAGCGUGGACGCCAGUCUGCGUGGAGCCAACCUUGAAAUACCACCCUUUAAUGUUUGAUGUUCUAACGUUGGCCCCUUACCGGGGUUGCGGACAGUGUCUGGUGGGUAGUUUGACUGGGGCGGUCUCCUCCCAAAGCGUAACGGAGGAGCACGAAGGUUAGCUAAUCCUGGUCGGACAUCAGGAGGUUAGUGCAAUGGCAUAAGCUAGCUUGACUGCGAGCGUGACGGCGCGAGCAGGUGCGAAAGCAGGUCAUAGUGAUCCGGUGGUUCUGAAUGGAAGGGCCAUCGCUCAACGGAUAAAAGGUACUCCGGGGAUAACAGGCUGAUACCGCCCAAGAGUUCAUAUCGACGGCGGUGUUUGGCACCUCGAUGUCGGCUCAUCACAUCCUGGGGCUGAA
rnacentral:rRNA from 1 species